AAUCAACGCUGGCGGCGUGCCUCAGACAUGCAAGUCGAACGCGAAAGUUCCCUUCGGGGGAGUAAGUAGAGUGGCGUCCGGGUGAGUAACACGUAGGUAAUCUACCUUUGGGUGGGGAAGUAACAACCGGAAACGGUUGCUAAUACCGCAUAAUGCAGCGGCACCACAUGGUGACAGUUGUUAAAGCGGGGGAUCGCAAGACCUCGCGCCUAAAGAGGAGCCUGCGGCGGAUUAGCUAGUUGGAGGGUAACGGCCUACCAAGGCAACGAUCCGUAGCCGGCCUGAGAGGGCGGUCGGCCACACUGACACUGAAAUACGGGUCAGACUCCUACGGGAGGGCAGCAGUCGGGAAUUUUAGGGCAAUGGGCGAAAGCCUGACCCAGCAACGCCGCGU
rnacentral:rRNA from 1 species